ACGUAGGGUGCGAGCGUUAAUCGGAAUUACUGGGCGUAAAGCGUGCGCAGGCGGAUUGUUAAGCAAGACGUGAAAUCCCCGGGCUUAACCUGGGAAUGGCGUUUUGAACUGGCAGUCUAGAGUGCGUCAGAGGGGGGUGGAAUUCCACGUGUAGCAGUGAAAUGCGUAGAGAUGUGGAGGAACACCGAUGGCGAAGGCAGCCCCCUGGGAUGACACUGACGCUCAUGUACGAAAGCGUGGGUAGCAAACAG
rnacentral:rRNA from 1 species